UACGUAGGGUGCGAGCGUUGUCCGGAAUUACUGGGCGUAAAGAGCUCGUAGGUGGUUUGUCGCGUUGUUCGUGAAAACUCACAGCUUAACUGUGGGCGUGCGGGCGAUACGGGCAGACUGGAGUACUGCAGGGGAGACUGGAAUUCCUGGUGUAGCGGUGGAAUGCGCAGAUAUCAGGAGGAACACCGGUGGCGAAGGCGGGUCUCUUGGCCGAUACUGACGCUGAGGAGCGAAAGCGUGGGGAGCGAACAGG
rnacentral:rRNA from 1 species